UACGGGGGGGGCAAGCGUUGUUCGGAAUUACUGGGCGUAAAGGGCUCGUAGGCGGCCAACUAAGUCAGACGUGAAAUCCCUCGGCUUAACCGGGGAACUGCGUCUGAUACUGGAUGGCUUGAGUUUGGGAGAGGGAUGCGGAAUUCCAGGUGUAGCGGUGAAAUGCAUAGAUAUCUGGAGGAACACCGGUGGCGAAGGCGGCAUCCUGGACCAACACUGACGCUGAGUGAGCGAAAGCCAGGGGAGCAAACGGG
rnacentral:rRNA from 1 species